AAAUACAACUUACGUAUAAGUUAAUAAUUCUUGACCGUGAUCCAAUCAAAAUAUUAAAUUCUUCUUUAACCUUUGCAAUUUCAUCAUAAAAAAAUAUAAAAAAAUAUAUAUAUAAAAACAAAUACAAACACACCCAUACACUUUCACUAUAUUUUCUUUUUUCUUUUCCUUUCCUUUUCCUUUUUUUGUUUUUUUACAUCCACAAUACAGAUUACAAAAAAUUCGAAACUAAAUAAAAAUUAUAUUAAAUAAUCCAAAUUUACAAAAUAGUCCCCCAAAAAAUCCAUAACAGUGCUGGAGAAGCUUUUUGAAAUUGCAUGCAGUGCUGAGGCAGGUCUCUGAACAGGUGAACACUGGCGGCGCGUCUCUCCCACUCGCCCCCGCCACUGGGGGCGCGUGGGUUCACGCGCCGCCGUGAGAGAGAGCUUGGAAACAGCAUAUCCCGUAUGGCUUCUUCUUCUUCUCUGUCUUCCUAAACCGUCGGUGACCUGCAGGACCAGAAAAGAAACACACACAGCAGUCGAUUUUAAUUUUUUUCUUUGAUUUCAAUCUGUUUGUUCUUUCUCUCUUCACCGUUUUAGAUCUUCUCCCCUCUCGGUUUCGCCCUCUUCUCUGUUGGUGUUCUCUACUGGUUGCUGGGGAUGAAGGCGAACAGAUCUGAGUCUGUGGGUGUCGCUUCGCUCUGGCUGUUAGAGCUGCGGUGGAGAUGGGAGGCAGUUGACCGGUCGGCGUCGCUGGUUGAAGGAGACGAAGAGGUUGCUGGUUGCUGCUGUUCGGCCGCCGCUGGGGGAAGCUUUGUCGCGUCUGUGCUGAUGAGGGAGACCGUGGCCUGCGGCCGGUGGAAGAGGGAAGAUCUGUCAGCUGCGGGCUGGAAGGCGGUGUUCUCGGUGGCUGAGAGAAGCGCCGCUGGGAGGGGGAAGGUCUGGUGCGUGGGGGGUGUUCGGAUGUGUUGCUGGAAAAGAAAAAUGGAGCUGCUGUCUUGGAGAAGGGGAGAGGUCGUGGCUGAGAGGGAGGCGGCGGUCUUGGUUUCCCAAGGAAGGGGGAGGCUGGCCGGUUCUGAUUUGUAGCGGGUGAGGGGUGUUAGAGGCUGGUAUGUGGCUGUUGGCAAGCCGGCCGGGGAAGAGGAAGAAGGAAAAAAAAUCCAGCGGGGAGGCUGGCGGCUGCCUCUUUCGGUGAGGGAGAGAAAAAGCUAAGCUUUUAGGGUUUCAGUUGCCUCUCCCCUCAAAUUUCAAAAUUGCCCCCCCCCCCCCUCUCCUUUUGUUUGAGUUGUGGACCAGUAUUUAUAGGUAAAAUGUUGCAUGGAUCUCAAGAUUGGUUCAUCCAACUUUUUUUCUUUUUUUUGUAAAUUUGAUUUUUCUUAAUUUUUUUGUAUUUUUUGAAAACGAGCAAUAUCAACGUCGACUCAAUGAAGAAAAUCAAUGAUUUUAAAAUAACGCGUUAAAAGUUGAACGCGUUCCAAAUAUCUUUGAAAAUUUAAAUUCUUUUGAUACGAUGCUAAAAAUGAUAAAAAAUGAUGCAAAUGUAUUAAAAACGUAUUUUUUUUUUGGAUUUUCAAUGUUUUUCGCUAUUUUUGAAUUUUUUCUGAAAAUUUAUCAAAACAUGGGUCAAAAAUUGGGUAGCAACAGAUGCCCCCUCUUUACAAUGCUUACGAAGCAAAACUCCUCAAUGUUUUGCGUAGUAAGCUUUGUAAAGAAAAACUUGUCUUUCUGUCUGCUCAAUAUCCACUCAUCUAAAGACCUUGCUCUUUUUUCUCUCUUUUUUUCUCUUCUUUUUUUUCCUGAGAUCCCAUCAGGCGAUCUUCUUGAAUGAAAACCAAAAUCUGCGUGGUUGGGCUAACCUGAGAUCUCGUCCGGCGAUCCCCUUUAACCAGAACCAAUAUCUUGUGUGUGGUUGGGCUAACCUGAGAUCCCGUCCGGCGAUCCCCUUUAACCAGAACCAAUAUGAGAUCCCAUCUGGCGACCUCAUUAAACCAAAACUAAAAAAAUGUGUGUAACUCGGUCAACCUGAAAUCCCAUCUGGCGAUUCCCUUUAACCAAAGCUAUUAUGGAAUAUAUUGAUGAGACUAUUUUCGAAAGGCGAUAUGGGAGAAUUGCACAACUAAUGAGGUUACCCGUACAAGCAGCAGCAAUCAAAGCCCUACUGAAUUUUUGGGAUCCUAGUUAUCGGGGUUUUACCUUUGGGAACAUUGAUAUGACACCGACUUUGGAGGAAUAUGAAAGGAUUCUAGAUUUUCCAAACGACAGCCACAGGAUCUACCUAAGGCGAAGAUUUGAAGACACAGCUUCGGAGGUAAUCAAUUUAUUAGGCUUGGGAAAGAUCAGUCAAUGUAGAGUCGCCGAGGGGGGUUUCAAAUGGAAAGUCAUUGAGGCCCGAAUGAAGAAAAAUGCUGAAGAAGGGAAGUUAGGAGAGGAACGAUACAGGUUGGUGGCCUUCGCCAUUUUUGGGCUAGUAUUGUUCCCUUCCGAAAUCGGAGUCAUCAGUUUGGAAGCAGCAAGUGUCUUCAUAGAAUACGAACGUGACCGGAUCAAUCCCUCAUCAGCCAUUUUGGGAGAAACCAUGUUAUCACUCAACCACUGCAGAAUGCAUGGAAAAGGAGCCAUGAGGUGUUGCGCCCCUAUGUUGUAUUUAUGGAUUAUCAGUCAUAUCGAAACACCAAGGGACAUUUUUAACAACUUUUGGUGGUUUGACCUGCGACCAUUAAAGGUUACCAUGGAUGAGACUUGGAAGAAUUGGGAUGAGAAAGCAUGGAUAGAUAAAUAUGCGGCAUUACCAAAGAGCAAUUUUAAAUGGAAAGCACCAUGGAUGAACAAUGCCAUCUGCACAAUGAGCUGUGGAAGCAAGAUAUGGGUUCCUUUGAUCGGUGUAACCGGGUACAUCAGUUACGCGCCCGCCCUGGUAACAAGGCAGUUAGGCGGAAUGCAGUACGCACCAAGAACUCUGGGUUUAGCUGAUUUCGUCGGUCUAUUCAAGCACCAACCCUUCCUCGAAGAGAUGGAGCUUAUCCGACAAGAUUGGGAAAGACCCCUGUUGGUAAAAAGGGAAGAAGGGAGCACGUUUGAAACAUCAUUUAGCCAGAAUUAUGCAGUUUGGAGGAAUGAAGAGCUUUCUGAAGUGAAGGUUUUCUCAAUACCAAAACAUCCAGAAUCCACAAUAGAGCAACAAAAAAGGAAAAGGACUGAUAAUGAGGAGGAGUUAAGAAAGCAGCUAGAACGAUGUGUAAUUGAUCUCAGUAAAAGUAAAGGGCAACAACAGUUAUUAGAAAGUCAGUUAGAGGAAGAAAACACGAUGAGGGUUUUCUUGAACCAGCAGUUGGAAAAACAGGAUAAGCAAUUAACAUCCUUGAAAGAAUGGCAGAAAAGGGCCGAGGUAGCGGAAGAAAUAGCAAAAGGGGUCCAGGCUGAGCUAAAGAAACGAAUGACCGAAUAUGAUGAGCUGGUUAAGAAGAAUGGGCUCGCAGAAAAAGAGUUGGCAAGGGUUAAAAGAUCAACAAAAGGCAAGAUGAAUGUUGACAAAGAGGUGAUGGAUUCCUUGAAGAAGGGAAAGAGCAUUCUUUCAAAGAAAAUAGAAGUUGAAAAGGAGAAGAAUCGGCUAGCCCAGCUCGACAUAGAAGAGGAAAGAAGGAUUAGAGCUCAAUAUAUGGUGCAGCUUGAGGAAGAGAGAAGUGCAAGAAAGGCCGCCGAGUCUGAUAUGAGAGAUUACCAGAAAAGAGCUGAGUCUUCGAAAGGAAGAAUGAUGGCUUUACAAUCUGAGAUCGAGAUACAAGUAGAAGAGUUGAGGGAGUUGAGAAGCCAUUACUUCGAGAUGGAAGAGGAGCUCAGUAAGGCUAAGCAAGAGCGUCAAGAAUGUCAGGGUUAGAUGGACAGCUUUACAGUCCAAAUUAACUCCAAAAUAGCCGAGCUGGAUAUCGAAAAGGAAGAACUGCAGAGGGUAAGGGAUAAGUUGGCCCGGUCGGAUGAUAUGGUUCGAGUGUUAGAAAGAAGUAAUGAAGCCCUAGGAGCCAGCAACGAAGUGAUAAUUGCAGAUAACACUGUGUUCCAUGAUAAGAUAAGGCAUAUAACGAAGCAGGUCGAGCAAGCAGCCCGUUAUGCGGAAAGGUUGCAACGACAAGCUACUCAAGUUGGAAAUGAUGCUUCAAAGUAUCGAGAAUAUAUGGCGGCCAUCACCUGUUUUAUUGGGGACUUAGCUAAUAGAGGAAAUGCCUUUUAAGGAUAGCAAUAUAUAACGCCCUUGUUCUGUUAUCACUGUAUGAGCAACUUCUAUUUAUAAGAAGGCUAUGACCUAUCUUUCUUUCUAAGUGUGUUUUGGUAAGCUACUAUGAUAAAGAACUUGGCAAACCCCCUUUACAGCAAUCGGGUCAACUCAGAAAUCUUGCCUAAAGGAUUACGAAAGUCAUGAAUCAAUUUUAAAAUAUACAUUUGCACGAGCAUCAUAUUUUCAUCACGCAUUUGUUUAAUUUAUCAUAUGCAUGCCAGAUCAUGAAACAUAGGUCCCACAUCCAAGGUCCACAACACCCGGUCUAGAGCAAGAAUGGAGAACGAAGAGAGAGCUCACUUAGAGUCACAUUAUCAAACCGAGUUGGAGUCCGUAAAAAAUGAAGUUUCUCGGUUAACUGAUUUACUUGAGCAGCUUCUAAGAGCUAAGAAUGCGGAGGGAACAUCAACACAACAGCCUGAAGGAGCGCCAGCAGCGCACGUCCCUCAAGUAUCCCAAAACCAAGGGGCAAACUCGGCCAAUGAACUACAUUUCGUGCCGAUCACCCCUAUCCAGCCAACUCACGCUCCAAUCACUGUGGACUUAACAACGGAGGGAGUCCCGGAUAAUAGGUCUCCCAGUGUGAUGGACCAAGACAAGCUAUUUGCUCUAGAAGAAAGAUUAAGGGCAGUUGAGGGUAAUGAUUGGUUUGACCCUAUGAGAGCAGCCGAAGUAUGUUUGGUACCAAACAUCGUGGUACCAAAAGAUUUUCGAAUACCAGAGUUCAUUAAGUAUACCGGUUUGGAAUGCCCAAACACUCACCUUCGAUCCUACUGCAACAAAAUGGCGGAAGUAAUCCGUGAUAAUAAAUUGCUAAUCUAUUUCUUUCAAGAUAGCCUAGCAGGAUCCACUUUAAGCUGGUAUAUGAGGUUAGACAGCAUUAGGAUCAAGAGCUGGAGAGACUUGGUGGAGGCUUUCCUCAAACAGUACAAGUUUAACAUGGAAAUCGCUCCUGAUCGAACAAGUCUAAUGGCAAUGGAGAAAAGGAGCCAGGAGUCAGUAAGGGCUUAUGCGCAAAGAUGGAGGGAUGAAGCAAUGCAUGUCCAACCCCCUUUGAUAGAAACAGAGAUGGUGAGCUUGUUUGCCAAUACCUUCAAAGCACCUUAUUAUGAGCACCUAAUGGGUAGCUCCUCUCAACACUUCUAUGAUGCAGUACGCAUAGCUGAGAGGAUAGAACAAGGGAUUAAGGCUGGGCGAAUAGCGAUGCCAGUGGAAAAGAAGGGUUUCAUUGGAAGAAAGAGAGAAGGCGAUGUUAACAAUCUGGAAGGUGGGUAUAAGGGCAAGAGAGUAGAUUUCCAUAAUCCUCAAGUACCUACCUCUCAAUUCUCACGCAUGAACUUUAACCAACCUUUUUCCCCUAAUCGAACAAAUAACCAAUCGAACUACCAAAAUCACUACCAAAGACCCCAUACAAAAUACACUUCGGAACAACUGCCACCCUUACCCAUGCCUUUGAAGGACAUGUACACCAAACUGUUGAGCAUUGGACAAAUAGCUCCUAUCCCUACACUACCACUACAACCACCAUUCCCAAUUUGGUACAAGCCCGAGUUGGCUUGCGAGUACCAUGGGGGUAAUCCCGGGCAUGGGAUUGAAACCUGUUACGCCUUCAAGAAGAGGUUGUUAGAGCUUAUUAAGAUGGGAUGGGUAUCCUUUGAGGACAAGCCCAAUGUUAAUUCAAACCCAUUGCCUAAGCAUGCCCCAAAUAGUAGUGGAAUAGGCAUGAUCGAAGUGGGAAAUCAAUGCAAGGUGUUGAAGGUGUCCAUGAAAAGAUUGUAAAACAUGUUGGUACAAUCAGGAUUUCUAAAGACAAAGGUGGAGAGCCAUUCGGAGGGAUAUGAUUACUGUGAAUACCAUGGAAGAGAUGGACAUCAUAUUGAGGAUUGCAUCGAGUUUUGCGAAAAGAUUGCAAAAAUGCUAAAAAUGGGGGAGUUGAGGAUUGAACCCAUGAAGAACAGCGGUGAGGUGAGUAUGAUGGAAGGUCAAGAUGAAAUGACAGGAGUAUGCAGGAUCCAGCCAACAGCUCAUGGGCCCCCAAGGCUAAUCUUGGUUAAACCGCCCUACACAAAAGGGAAUCACAAUGCCAUGCCUUAUAAUUAUGGUUAUGCCUCUAACGUUCGAGCUCCUCUUCCUUUGUUCCAGCCUGAGAUAAGUGGUUUGACCAGGAGUGGUCGUUGCUUUACGCCCGAGGAGUUGAGGAAGUCAAAGGGCAAAGAAGUGGUAGAUCUGGACAAAGCACUAGAAGUUAAUAAGCCAGUAACGGAAGAGGAAUCGAAUGAAUUCUUGAAGUUGAUCAAGCAUAGCGAAUAUUGCAUAGUGGAUCAACUAAAGAAGACUCCAGCUAGGAUCUCCCUUAUGUCCUUGAUACUCAGCUCUGAGCCGCAUCGAAACGCCUUGCAAAAGGUAUUGAAUGAGGCAUAUGUGCCCCAAGACAUUGAACAUAAAACCAUGGAGCAUCUAGUGGGAAGGAUCCAUGCAACUAAUUACCUGUACUUCACGGCUGAUGAGCUUGAUGCUGAAGGUACCGGACAUAACAAGCCCUUAUACAUUACGGUUAGGUGCAAGGACUGCCUCAUAGGAAAAGUACUCAUUGAUAAUGGCUCGGCCCUUAACGUGUUGCUAAAGCACAUGUUGGAAGAAAUGCCGAUCGAUGAAUCCCAUAUUAAGCCAAGUACUAUGAUGGCCAGAGCGUAUGAUGGAUCGCCUAGGCCAAUAAUUGGGACUUUAGAAGUGGAGCUAUACGUGGGACCACAAAUGUUCCUAGUAACACUUCAGGUUAUGGAUAUCCACCCUUCCUAUAGUAUGUUGUUAGGAAGACCUUGGAUUCAUGCAGCGGGGGCAGUAGCUUCGUCAUUGCACCAAUGCCUGAAGUAUAUCAUGAAUGAGAUGUUGGUAACCGUCAAGGCCGAGGAGACAGUAUCCAUGACAAAGAAUGUAGCUGUGCCUUUUAUCGAAGCGGGUGAUUGCAAGGGUAACAAUAUCCAUGCCUUUGAGAUUGUGAACACCGACUAGGUGCCGGAGAACACAGUGCUAAGAAGGCCAAGGAUCUCAGAAGCAGCAAGGAUGGCAAGUCUAUGCUUCUUGAACCGCGGAAUCCCAUUUCAGUAUAACCUUAUUAUCAGGAUGCCAGAAGGGGUUAAUCUGGCAAGGAUAAAAAGUGCUGCUCAAAGAUUUGGGUUAGGAUACCAACCUAACCAAAAGGAUUAUCGGUGGGCUGCUGGUCGGAGAAGGGCAAGAAGGAUGGCUAGAAUUAAAGGAAGAGAGCCUGAUGAAGAAAAGCUGGAAAUCCCUCCCCUUAGCGUGUCAUUUCCAAAAGCUGCAUACAUAAUGCAACAUGAUAAAGAAGCCGAAAGCCUUGAUCAAAAGCUGUCAAACAUGAGCAUAAAUACCUUGGGGGAAAACAAGGUGGAAGGAGAUGACAUGAAGACAGUAGCAAGAGAGGGAGAUGAAGCACUCCCACAACUGACGGUCUACACCAUAGAAGAAGUAUCCGCCAAGACCUUUGUGCGCAAGUUAGCUCAAGACGAGAAGUUUCAGAACUAGGUGACCCAAGAAGCUCCAGUGGUUUUCAAAAUGUAAACCAAUUUUGUUUGUCUUAACAUGCUUUUGUCAUUGCUUAUGUUUGCUUUUAUUUCCUCUAGUUGACAAUCAAGGCUCAUGAUGUCAGCUAGAUUUUAUGUUUGUCAUGGAGCCCACCUUUUCUUUAAAUAAAUUGUGAGAUCAUGCACUUUUCACAAAUUGCCUUCUUUUUUUAUGCAUUUACACCAAACACUUCCCGCUUUCAGGAAUCCUGAAAGCGGAUCUCCCACAACAUCACAUACAUUUAGCAUCAAGAAUAAAUGACCAAACUUGAAUGAGCAUGUGAUAGCUAUGGAAGAAGAAGAGUGGGAUGAAAGCAAUAUCAGUGAAUUCACUAGGCUAGUAGAACAACAGGAACAGACUUGGAAGCCUAUCGCCGAGGAACUCGAAACCAUCAAUGUGGGCAGUGAUCAGCUUAAGAAAGAGUUAAAAAUAGGUACCCUAAUUACUUCUGAACAAAGGAUAAAAAUGAUCACCCUAUUACAAGAAUAUUCAGAUGUCUUUGCUUGGUCCUAUGAAGAUAUGCCUGGUUUGGAUACAAAUAUUGUAGUACACAAGAUACCGUUGGAAGAAGGUUGUAAGCCAGUCAAGCAGAAGCUGAGGAGGGCCCACCCGGAUGUCUGGAUCAAGGUCAAGACAGAACUCGAGAAGCAAUGGGAUGCUGGUUUUCUAGAAGUAGUUAGAUAUCCGCAAUGGGUAUCUAACAUUGUUGUGGUGCCUAAGAAGGAGGGGAAGAUUAGAGUGUGCGUGGAUUUUCGGAAUUUGAAUAAAGCUAGCCCCAAGGAUGAUUUUCCGCUACCACAUAUAGAUGUUUUAGUAGACAACGCUGCCCGGAGUUCCACAUAUUCCUUUAUGGAUGGUUUUUCAGGAUACAACCAGAUAAAGAUGGCUCCGGAGGAUAAGGCGAAAACAACUUUUGUCACACCUUGGGGGACGUUCUGCUACAAGGUGAUGCCAUUCGGGUUGAAGAAUGCCGGAGCAACCUAUCAAAGAGCAAUGGUGACUUUGUUCCACGACAUGAUGCACAAGGAAAUUGAGGUGUAUGUAGACGACAUGAUUGCCAAGUCUAAAAGGGGAGAGGAUCAUGUUGAAGUUUUGAGGAAGUUGUUUGAGAGAUUGAGGAAGUUUGAAUUAAGGCUCAAUCCUGCAAAAUGUUCCUUCGGAGUUAAAUCGGGUAAGCUGUUAGGAUUUGUGGUAAGUGAUAGAGGUAUAGAGGUGGAUCCAGAUAAAGUAAGGGCCAUCCAAGCUAUGUCAUCCCCUAAGACGGAGAAAGAAGUAAGAGGAUUCUUGGGAAGGAUAAACUACAUUGCUCGGUUCAUAGCUCAGUUAACAACGACGUGUGAACCUAUAUUCCGACUACUAAGGAAAAAGAAUCCUGGAACCUGGAAUGAGGAGUGUGAGGAGGCAUUCAAUAAAAUCAAGCAUUAUUUACAAAAUCCACCUUUACUGGUUCCUCCGGUAUCAGGAAAACCUCUAGUAUUGUACCUAACAGUGACUGAUGCAGCCAUGGGAUGUGUAUUAGGACAGCAUGAUGAAACCGGAAGGAAGGAAAGAGCUAUUUAUUAUUUAAGUAAGAAAUUCACGGAGUGUGAGUCUAGAUACACGGAGAUAGAAAGGCUUUGUUGUGCGUUGGUGUGGGCGGCAAAGAGGUUGCGACAUUAUAUGUUAUACUAUACCACUUGGUUGAUUUCAAAGGUGGAUCCUCUGAGGUAUAUUUGUAACAAGCCCUAUCUCUCAAGUCGAAUUGCAAGGUGGCAAGUUCUAUUAGCAGAAUAUGACAUAGUAUACAUGACAAGGAAAGCCGUAAAAGGAAGUGCAAUCGCAGACCAUCUGGCCGAUAAUGCUGUUGAAGAUUAUGAACCUUUGGAUUUUGACUUCCCUGAUGAAGAUAUAUUGUCAAUAGAGAAAGAAGAAGAGAAGACAGAUUGGUGGACGAUGUGUUUUUGACGGUGCAGUGAAUGUAUAUGGUAACGGGGCCGGUGCGGUAAUAAUCUCUCCUGAUAAGAAACAAUAUCCAGUUUCGGUUAAACUACAUUUCGAGUGCACCAACAACACAGCUGAGUAUGAAGCUUGUAUCCUCGGUUUAGAAGCGACAUUAGAGUUGAAGAUAAAGAAGUUAGAUGUAUAUGGAGAUUCAAUGUUGAUUAUUUGUCAGGUUAAAGGGGAAUGGCAGACCAAGGAGGAAAAGUUAAGGCCGUACCAGGAAUACCUAUCCACGCUAGCAAAGGAAUUUGAAGGAAUUAGAUUCACCCAUCUGGGAAGGGAGGGGAACCAUUUUGCGGAUGCUUUGGCCACGCUAGCUGCUAUGACUACCAUUGAUCUCAAGUGCAAGGUACAACCGGUACACAUUGACAUUAGAAAUGACCCAGCUCACUGUUGCUUAGUUGAAGGAGGGAUAGACGGACAUCCUUGGUAUUAUGAUAUCAAGAACCUUGUGCAAAAUCACGAAUAUCCGGUAGGAGCUUCCAAAACGGAUAAGAAAACCUUGAGAAUGAGGCAGAUGGAGAGAUUUUGUACAAAAGAUCAUUUGAUGGGACCCUACUAAGAUGUUUGAAUGAGGCAGAUGCUAGAAAGGCAUUACGGGAGGUCCAUGAGGGGAUUUGCUCAACCCAUGCUAGCGGGCAUAUGAUAGCGAGGAAAAUCCAAAGGGCUGGUUAUUUUUGGAUGACACUAGAGAAAGACUGUAUCGAUUAUGUCAGGAAAUGUCAUAAAUGUCAAGUUUACAGUGACAAGGUCAAUAUGCCACCAGCUCCUCUAUUUAACCUAAUAUCCCCUUGGCCAUUUGCAAUGUGGGGAAUUGACGUGAUCGGUCCUGUUAACCCAAAAGCUAGCAAUGGUCAUAGAUUCAUCCUCGUAGCUAUUGACUACUUCACAAAAUGGGUGGAAGCUAGUUCAUAUGCCCACGUAACACAGAACGUAGUGAAGAGGUUUAUAGAGAAGGACUUGAUUUGUCGCUAUGGUCCUCCGGAAAAGAUAGUGACAGAUAAUGCACAGAAUUUCAAUGGCAAAAGGAUAGCAGAGCUGUGUACUAAAUGGAAAAUCAAGCAUUCGAAUUCUUCACCAUACCGACCAAAGAUGAAUGGCGCAGUAGAAGCCGCCAACAAGAACAUCAAGAAAAUUAUUCAGAAAAUGGUAGUCACAUAUAGAGAUUGGCAUGAGAUGUUAUCAUUCGCUCUUCACGCAUACCGCACUACAGUCAGGACCUCGACAGGGACUACCCCAUAUUCUCUGGUAUACGGUAUGGAGGCAGUGAUGCCGUUGGAAGUGGAAAUCCCAUCGUUAAGAGUAUUAAUGGAUUCCGAACUAGAAGAGGCUGAAUGGGCCAAGGUGAGGUACGAGCAACUGAACCUGAUCAGUGAAAAGAGGAUGGCUGCAAUAUGUCAUCACCAACUUUACCAGAAACGAAUGGCCAAGGCAUAUGAUAAGAAGGUUAGACCGCGUUUGUUUCGAGAAGGGGAUCUAGUAUUGAAGAAAAUAUUGUCACUACCUGGAGACGAUCAAAGCAAAUGGGCACCAAAUUACGAGGGUCCUUACGUAGUAAAGAAGGCAUUCUCAGGAGGAGCGCUGAAGUUGGCUAGAAUGGAUGGAGAAGACCUAGCUCGACCUGUGAAUUCUGACUCUGUAAAAAGAUAUUAUGCUUGAUGUAGGCUCCUAAAUCAAUAAAGCAAAGUUUGGUCAUUGACUUCUUUCUCUUUUUGCAUUGAUCUCACAACAAUCAUUUUUUUGCAUUAAUCCCAAUAGCGCAUAUUUUGUUGUUAUCGCACCUAAAAAAGUUUAGCAUCGGCUGAACGAAUUCCUUCUCUAUACAAAAGCCUAGACUAAAAUCACACCCCUACACUGGGGGCAAUAAGAGAUGUUUUCAUGAAAAGUUUUACGUGUUUAAAAUGUACGGAAGCCUAUAGAUUUGAAAACCAAGCUAAAGCAUUUGACAAAAGCAUGACAAAGAGGCAAUGACAAAUCAUACAUUUUGGGAAAAGGACUACUUAAAGAAAGUCAGAGAUUUCUUCUCCAAAAAUAUGAUAGGGGGCAACACGAGAGAUGAAUCCAGCAUGCGACUUCAAAAGCAAGCUCAGGUUAAGAAGGAGGCUCAUGAACUCGAAGAAGGUGAUGGGGCCUAUGUUUCAAAACCAGGUACGAAUGCAUGCAUGACAUCUAAUCAUAAAGCAUUGCAUAUAUGUUUUUUGGAUCGUUAUAGGAGGAGACCUUAAUGCAUUCCAACAAGAUUGGAGAUGAAGAAAGAAUCAUAGUGGAUGAUAGCAAAGAAUCACGGUUUCGAACCAUAGUGGAUUCUGGAACAACGAGAAGAACAAGAAAAAGAGAGAAUGAAAAGUUUUGAACCCUGCCAUCAGGAAGAACGACAUCGAUAUCAGCUUUGGUAAUAAGGAAUCGCCAGAUGGGAUUCCAAGUUGAUUAAAGGAGAUCGCCAGAAGGGAUCUCGUGUUUCGCUAUUUAGAGGUCGCCAGAAGGGACCUCGCAUUUCAGCUUUGAAUAAAAGGAAUCGCUAGAUUGGGAUUCCAAGUUGAUGGAGAUCGCCAGGAGGGAUCUCGUAUUUUGCUAUUUGAAGGUCGCCAGAUGGGACCUCAUAUGUUGGUUAAAAGGAAUCGCCAGAUGGGAUUCCAAGUUGAAUAAAGGAGAUCGCCAGAAGGGAUCUCGUGUUUCGCUAUUUGGAGGUCGCCAGAUGGGACCUCGUAUUACCUGUUGAAUAAAAGGAAUCGCCAGAUGGGAUUCCAAGUUGAAGGAGAUCGCCAGAAGGGAUCUCGUAUUUCGCUAAAAGGAAUCGCCAGAUGGGAUUCCAAAUUGAUUAAAGGAGAUCGCCAGAAGGGAUCUCGUAUUUUGCUAUUUGGAGGUCGCCAGAUGGGGCCUCAUAUUUCGUUUGAAUAAAAGGAAUCGCCAGAUAGGAUUCCAAAUUGAUUAAAGGAGAUCGCCAGAUGGGAUUCCAAGUUGAGGAGGGUUGCUGUAAAAGACAAGUUUCAGAUCAAUCAAGCUUCAACCAGAUCAGUUUCGGGAGUUCCGUUUUGGGUUUAUCUUUAUAAAACUUACUGCGCAAAGCCUCUGCUCCGUAAGCAUUAUAAAGAGGGGGCAUCUGUUGUAACCCAUUUUUGGGUCCCCCCAUAAAAAUAUAAAUAUAUAGCCGGAAGAAAUUAGAAAAAUAAUAAGAGGUGGGAGCGCUCAGAAAAUGGUCGGAAAAUUGGUCAAUGAGGUUAAAAAUACAAAGAUUGGAUUUUGGACAGUAUAUUCUUGAAGGAGGAGAGCCCUAUUGAGAGGGGAAUUUUGAAAUUUUGAGGAGAAAUGCCCAAAUUUGGAUGUUUAUGGACUUAAUUGGAUUUUUAAAUGAAUUUAUAGGAGAUUUGAUUGUAAGAAAAAUUGAUUUUUAAGUCAAUUUGGGCUUUAAUUAGAAGAAAUUUAAGUUCUGGGGCCGAAAUAUAUUUUUUAGGAAUUUAUUAGGUCAAAUCAGGGGCUUAAUUGCAUAAAUAUUGAAGUUUAAGGGCCAAUUAGGGACUUAAUUGAAGAAAUCUGAAACCAAGGACCGAAUUGGAAAAGGCGCGCAAGUAUAGGGGCUGCAAUUAACAAAAUCCGGGGGCCAAAUUGAAGAAAUUGAAAGUUUAAUGGCCAAUUAGGGACGAAAUUACAUAAAUCCGAGACCAAGGACCAUAUUGCAAAAGGCGCGUAACUUUGGGGCCGAAGGUGAAGUUAUGUCGGGACUAAAUUGCAUCAAAUCAGAAGUUUUAGGGUCAAUUAGGGAAUAAUAUUGAACGAAAUUGAAAGUCGGAGGACUAAAUUGAAAAUUCGCAAAGAAAUCCCUAUUUUUAUCAAAACGGCACCGUUUUGCAUUUUUUUUUUUAAAAAAAAAAAUAUAAAAACAAAUACAAACACACCCAUACACUUUCACUAUAUUUUCUUUUUUCUUUUCCUUUCCUUUUCCUUUUUUUGUUUUUUUACAUCCACAAUACAGAUUACAAAAAAUUCGAAACUAAAUAAAAAUUAUAUUAAAUAAUCCAAAUUUACAAAAUAGUCCCCCAAAAAAUCCAUAACAGUGCUGGAGAAGCUUUUUGAAAUUGCAUGCAGUGCUGAGGCAGGUCUCUGAACAGGUGAACACUGGCGGCGCGUCUCUCCCACUCGCCCCCGCCACUGGGGGCGCGUGGGUUCACGCGCCGCCGUGAGAGAGAGCUUGGAAACAGCAUAUCCCGUAUGGCUUCUUCUUCUUCUCUGUCUUCCUAAACCGUCGGUGACCUGCAGGACCAGAAAAGAAACACACACAGCAGUCGAUUUUAAUUUUUUUCUUUGAUUUCAAUCUGUUUGUUCUUUCUCUCUUCACCGUUUUAGAUCUUCUCCCCUCUUGGUUUCGCCCUCUUCUCUGUUGGUGUUCUCUACUGGUUGCUGGGGAUGAAGGCGAACAGAUCUGAGUCUGUGGGUGUCGCUUCGCUCUGGCUGUUAGAGCUGCGGUGGAGAUGGGAGGCAGUUGACCGGUCGGCGUCGCUGGUUGAAGGAGACGAAGAGGUUGCUGGUUGCUGCUGUUCGGCCGCCGCUGGGGGAAGCUUUGUCGCGUCUGUGCUGAUGAGGGAGACCGUGGCCUGCGGCCGGUGGAAGAGGGAAGAUCUGUCAGCUGCGGGCUGGAAGGCGGUGUUCUCGGUGGCUGAGAGAAGCGCCGCUGGGAGGGGGAAGGUCUGGUGCGUGGGGGGUGUUCGGAUGUGUUGCUGGAAAAGAAAAAUGGAGCUGCUGUCUUGGAGAAGGGGAGAGGUCGUGGCUGAGAGGGAGGCGGCGGUCUUGGUUUCCCAAGGAAGGGGGAGGCUGGCCGGUUCUGAUUUGUAGCGGGUGAGGGGUGUUAGAGGCUGGUAUGUGGCUGUUGGCAAGCCGGCCGGGGAAGAGGAAGAAGGAAAAAAAAUCUAGCGGGGAGGCUGGCGGCUGCCUCUUUCGGUGAGGGAGAGAAAAAGCUAAGCUUUUAGGGUUUCAGUUGCCUCUCCCCUCAAAUUUCAAAAUUGCCCC
rnacentral:lncRNA from 1 species